AGAGUUUGAUCCUGGCUCAGGACGAACGCUGGCGGCGUGCCUAAUACAUGCAAGUCGAGCGGACAGAUGGGAGCUUGCUCCCUGAUGUUAGCGGCGGACGGGUGAGUAACACGUGGGUAACCUGCCUGUAAGACUGGGAUAACUCCGGGAAACCGGGGCUAAUACCGGAUGGUUGUUUGAACCGCAUGGUUCAAACAUAAAAGGUGGCCUCGGCUACCACUUACAGAUGGACCCGCGGCGCAUUAGCUAGUUGGUGAGGUAACGGCUCACCAAGGCAACGAUGCGUAGCCGACCUGAGAGGGUGAUCGGCCACACUGGAACUGAGACACGGCCCAGACUCCUACGGGAGGCAGCAGUAGGGAAUCUUCCGCAAUGGACGAAAGUCUGACGGAGCAACGCCGCGUGAGUGAUGAAGGUCUUCGGAUCGUAAAGCUCUGUUGUUAGGGAAGAACAAGUACCGUUCGAAUAGGGCGGUACCUUGACGGUACCUAACCAGAAAGCCACGGCUAACUACGUGCCAGCAGCCGCGGUAAUACGUAGGUGGCAAGCGUUGUCCGGAAUUAUUGGGCGUAAAGGGCUCGCAGGCGGUUUCUUAAGUCUGAUGUGAAAGCCCCCGGCUCAACCGGGGAGGGUCAUUGGAAACUGGGGAACUUGAGUGCAGAAGAGGAGAGUGGAAUUCCACGUGUAGCGGUGAAAUGCGUAGAGAUGUGGAGGAACACCAGUGGCGAAGGCGACUCUCUGGUCUGUAACUGACGCUGAGGAGCGAAAGCGUGGGGAGCGAACAGGAUUAGAUACCCUGGUAGUCCACGCCGUAAACGAUGAGUGCUAAGUGUUAGGGGGUUUCCGCCCCUUAGUGCUGCAGCUAACGCAUUAAGCACUCCGCCUGGGGAGUACGGUCGCAAGACUGAAACUCAAAGGAAUUGACGGGGGCCCGCACAAGCGGUGGAGCAUGUGGUUUAAUUCGAAGCAACGCGAAGAACCUUACCAGGUCUUGACAUCCUCUGACAAUCCUAGAGAUAGGACGUCCCCUUCGGGGGCAGAGUGACAGGUGGUGCAUGGUUGUCGUCAGCUCGUGUCGUGAGAUGUUGGGUUAAGUCCCGCAACGAGCGCAACCCUUGAUCUUAGUUGCCAGCAUUCAGUUGGGCACUCUAAGGUGACUGCCGGUGACAAACCGGAGGAAGGUGGGGAUGACGUCAAAUCAUCAUGCCCCUUAUGACCUGGGCUACACACGUGCUACAAUGGACAGAACAAAGGGCAGCGAAACCGCGAGGUUAAGCCAAUCCCACAAAUCUGUUCUCAGUUCGGAUCGCAGUCUGCAACUCGACUGCGUGAAGCUGGAAUCGCUAGUAAUCGCGGAUCAGCAUGCCGCGGUGAAUACGUUCCCGGGCCUUGUACACACCGCCCGUCACACCACGAGAGUUUGUAGCACCCGAAGUCGGUGAGGUAACCUUUUAGGAGCCAGCCGCCGAAGGUGGGACAGAUGGUUGGGGUGAAGUCGGAACAAGGUAGCCGUAUCGGAAGGUGCGGCUG
rnacentral:rRNA from 1 species